rnacentral:tRNA from 1 species
UAGCUCACUGGUAGAGCGCGUGCUUAGCAUGCAUGAGGUCCUGGGUUCAAUCCCCAG